CCUCGAUCUUCCAUGGCUGCAACGUCUUCCUCUAAAUCCGUCCAUGAAAUCCAUGAAAUCACCGUGAAGGAGGUCGCCUUAUCACUCUCAACAAUCUCUCCUUCUCUCUCUCUCUCUCUCUAACUCAGACCAAACCUUUCUGAAGAAGCAUCCUCUCCUGUGCUUUUGGCUCUAAACGUUUGCUUUCAAAUGGGAAGAAAGCUAGAAAAUUUGCCAAAAGAAAAAUCUUCAGUCUGUUGAGAAGAAGAACAGAAAGCAAAAGCCCUUUAUCAACCACAAAUUCGCUAAAACAAAAUGACGUCCGAUCAGAGCCAGGAGCUGAGAACACCAAUGGAUGAAAAUGACGUCGGGGGAAAGAUGAGCUGGCGAUUUUGUUGCUAUCUAUGGGAGGCAUGGAAACAAUGGAUCAUGCAGUUGAUUUCAUCAUUCAUUUGCGUUCCUGAGGUUUUGUGUAAUGUGCUAUACUGUUUCUAUAAAGUUACUAAACAAGACAGCAUGAACUCUGUCGUUUUUUU